rnacentral:rRNA from 1 species
AGAGUUUGAUCCUGGCUCAGAUUGAACGCUGGCGGCAUGCCUUACACAUGCAAGUCGAACGGCAGCACGGGGGCAACCCUGGUGGCGAGUGGCGAACGGGUGAGUAAUAUAUCGGAACGUGCCCUGGAGUGGGGGAUAACUAGUCGAAAGAUUAGCUAAUACCGCAUACGAUCUACGGAUGAAAGUGGGGGACCCGCAAGGGCCUCAUGCUCCUGGAGCGGCCGAUAUCUGAUUAGCUAGUUGGUGAGGUAAAGGCUCACCAAGGCAUCGAUCAGUAGCUGGUCUGAGAGGACGACCAGCCACACUGGGACUGAGACACGGCCCAGACUCCUACGGGAGGCAGCAGUGGGGAAUUUUGGACAAUGGGCGCAAGCCUGAUCCAGCAAUGCCGCGUGAGUGAAGAAGGCCUUCGGGUUGUAAAGCUCUUUUGUCAGGGAAGAAACGGUGAGGGCGAAUACCCCUUGCUAAUGACGGUACCUGAAGAAUAAGCACCGGCUAACUACGUGCCAGCAGCCGCGGUAAUACGUAGGGUGCAAGCGUUAAUCGGAAUUACUGGGGC